AUUUAACAACUUAAACUUCAUCAAUUAAUAACAUUAACUCUUCUUAUAAUACUUCGUUAAUAACUCAAUCAAUUUCUAAUCAUCAUUAACUUCAUAUUCAUCACAUUAUAUACAACAUCAUAUAGCACAUAAUAAUCAGAUCAUAAACAUCAUCAUAUAACGACAUAAUCAUCACAUCAUAAACAUCAUCUUAUAACAAGAUAAACGAUACAUCAUAAACAUCAUCUUAUAACAGCAUAAACAACACAUCAUAAACAUCAUCUCAUAACGACAUAAACAACAACGAUUAAUAAAUAUUAAUACUUCACUUAGUUCUUUAUUAACAACUCAUUGACAAAUGACAACUUAACGACAACGACAAUGCGACUUCUACAUCUUAAACUCAACAUAUGCAACUUCAACUUCUUAAUCAUGCAUGUGGUACCAACCAGAGCAUCAAGCCCUCAACAUAAAGAGCAUAAAUACACUCACAGGGCAUCAAGCCCUCAACAUAAGAGCAAAAGCUCACAGAGCAUCAAGCCCUCAACUUCAAAUGAUUAUGCAUGGACUCAAAAACGUACAACUUAGACAAAUUCACAACUUAUAUGAUCCAAUAUCUUGGAAUAACAACUUACAACUUUACAACUUAGACCAACACUUGCAACUUAAUGACAAUAAUGGUUCAACAACAACAGAAACAGCAACAUAAACAUCUUGCAACAUAGCAACAUCAAUAAUAACAAUUUGAAUGAUAUAAACAAUAAUAAUUUCUAUAUCAUACAUUUUCAACACCUUAUAUAAAUAUCUUAAAUUAACCAACAAUCAUUAAUCAUUUGAUUCAGGCUCUCUUUAACUCUAUAACUUAAUAACAACUUCCAUUCUUAUCCAAAGAUCAACUCAAAACAUAGGUUAAAUACUCUUAAACAUCUUAAUUGAACUCAUAGUACUUCUAGUUUUGAGGUUUUGAAUUAUCCCAUAAGUUUUGGAUUAACUUAGAAAUGGUUAUGCUGAAUUUUCAUAAGAUUUCACUAAGACCUCUCUGGAGUAUUUUUUAUCAUAUCUCAAAAACCAAAAAUCAUUUUCAAAUCAAACCAAAGCCAUUGAAAAGCUAAUAAAAUUAUCUAAAACUUUCAUGUUUACAACUAGACACAGUUCAAAGCGGAAAGGGGUGAAAAAUAGUAAAAUAAGAAGGAUCUGAUUCACAAAAAUCGUGCCACGUUUUUAUGCCCAGAACCAUUGAACUUUCGGCCAACAAAAUUGUGCCACGCUUGCAAAAUCGUGACACGUUUUGACAGCAUCAGGUCCAGAAAUCUGCUUUUCAAAAAGUGCAAUUUUCACCAUUUCGCGCGUAAAAUUCAAACCGUUAAUCGGAUUUUGAUGCCGUUUUCGCCUACACGCUCCUGAAACUUGGCUCUAUCAUAAUCUACAGCUAUUUCAAGUCUCAACCAUCCCAAGAAUCAUUUUCCAAAACCUCACAUAAUCCCUUAUUUGCAAAAACGUUUAGACACCGACUUUUCAAGCGAAAAUCUCAAUUUUCAUCAACUCAACCCCAAAACUGGUUCUAAUCAUUGUACUGUGAAUAAUCUAAGGUCUGAACAUCGUUUCUUCAUUAAUUCAACAGGUUUCUAUCAUCUAAUCAACCAAUUACAACUUUUAACCCUAAUUUCCCAAAUUCCCAAAACUACAACCUACAACAUGUUAAAUCCAAUUUUCAGAAUUAUACAACUUAUAAUUAAAGAAUGUUAUCAUUCUAGGUUCUUCUCUUCUAUUGUUUUCUCCCUUUUUCUCCAAAAACUUGUUUUACGCGAUCCUUAUUUUCUAAUUCUAACUCUCCCCUUUUAUAUAAAUCCUUAACCUACUUAUUUUCUCUUAUUUCCAAAUCUACCCCCAAAGUCUCAAUAUUCUAUUCUAAUAUAUAUGUAUAAUAAAAUACUUCUAUAACAAAUAACAAAUAUAUCUCUAUAACAAAUAUAUUUAUGUACCAGAUAACAUAUAUAUUUCUUCACCAAAUUAGAUAUAUAUUUCUACACCAAAUAACAUAUAUAUUAUACUAAUAAAUACCAACAUAUAACAUAACAAAAUAUCACUCAUCAAAAUAAAUCGACUAAAUUAUAAAAAGACAUCUAAAUUCAAUAAAAUAAAUAAAUAUUAAAAUAGGGCGUUACAAACGUGCUUUCUAUCAUCGAUGAACCAGAGCAAAAUUACCAUUAGAUUCAAUCAAUGGUCAUGAUUUAUACAAAAUAAAAAUAAGAACAUUUAAGAAUUGCCUCGCACAAUCUUGCCCCUAUUAAACUUUUUUAUUUUUGGUAUUCAUCAUCUUCAACCUCCAUUCCAAUUUUUUCGUAAUAAAAAAAAAAAAAAAAACUCCAUUUCAAUUUAGGAGCAAUGCUACAAAAGAGAAUUUGCACAAAAAAUUGAGUGUGUCUUCAAAAGUUUACGGGGUUUGCUAAAAAUCUAGUUUAUGGGUUCAAUUGGAGGUGGUGACUAAUGAAAUUGGAGGUUUAACUCAUCCUUAAAAACCAGUUCAUAAGGUGAGUCACGCCCAGCACUCUUUGGGCUUACGUGAAUCGGUAGGUAUUUGGGCUUACGUGAAUCGAUAGGUAACUCUUGAAUUCGACAGGUUCUGAUACCAUAAUGAAAUUGGAGGCCUAACUCAUCCUUAAAAACUAAUUCAUAAGGUGAGAAUUGUCUCCUCUAUAUUAACUCUUAUCAAGAGUCUUAUCUUUUCGAUGUGGAACAUGAGUUUUUUUCAAUAAUGACCUUUAAAGUUUAAACACGCGGCAUCUUUGAAUUCUACAUAGAAAAAAAAAAUAGAAUUAUAGCGUGUUAUGUUUGUUUCUCUAGAGCAUGAGACAUUUCAUUGUUCAGUUUAUGUUGUCAUGGAAAGGCAUAUGAGUGAUGGGUGUACAUCAUCGAUCGGUGGUUUGAUUCUCGUGAAUAGAACAAAAAAAAUCUGAGCUCAAUGGUACAAAUCCUUACGAUGAAAGGUGAGAUAUAGUAGGAUUGUGUGUGGAUAGUUGUAAAUGUUAUCUUUUUUAAUUCUAGUAGAUCAAAAUUGUUAAUCUCAUUUCAUGGUAAAAAUUAAAUAGUCCAUUUGUGAGGGACUCAAUAGCUCCUUCACCUUAGACGUCACCCUUAAUUAAUAAGAAACUAACGGCGAGGGACUCAACUCCCUCACCUUAGACGUCACCAUUGAUUAAUAAGAAACUAACGAUUGAAGUAAAUAAACGAGAAAGAAACUCAAACUUCUUUCUAAACUUUCUUUCUCUUUCGUUCAUCAAGGAGGGGUGGUUUUUGACCUAGAAUCACCCCUCUACAUCUUUUUUCCCAUUUUCUUUCAAUCUAAAUAAGUGGUUUUCACAUACAAGUGUUUCCUUUUGUGUUUUUUGUGAUUUUGUCGUCUAAGUACAACGCUGUGUUGGUCGUCGUCUUGUGCGGCGUUUGAUUUCACGUCUUGUCGCGGCGUUCGUUUAGUUUCUAUUGAAAGAUUGACAUCGGUCAAUUAUAAAUCCAAUCAAUGAUUUGGGUGUGAAUGUUGCCGAUCUAGAAACAUGAGUAUUUCGGUGACUUAGAUUUAAUCAUAUUAGUUGUAGCAUUUUGUCAUUUUAUGUUAUUAACUUGGGUGCUGUGAGUUUGUUCGCAGUUUUACCCUUUACGUUUCUAGCGAUUUUUGUAUCUGAUGUACUCUAUCAAUCUGAAUGAAUGAAUAUCGUUUUGUUUUUAUUAAAAAAAAAAAAUAAAAAAAAAACUAACGGUUAAAAGUUUGCUCUACAUGCCUACAAUGAUAAUAAAUAGAGAUAAUUUACUACAACUUUUAAAACAAUGAUGCUCAUUUAUAGGAACUUUACCAUAAAUAAGUCUCCAAAGAAAAAAUGAUUUGGAUUGAGGAAUUGAAGGUUUCCAAAUAAGCUAUGUCCAUGAUUGAUCAUAUGCAGAAACUUGACAAAAACUAUCAGCAUCCUAAACUGAAAGAGAACCUGAUGAAGAACCCUUCUAAGCAAGAUAUUCAGUGGAAAACUAUACCCCGAUAUUUAUCAAAUUUCAUAUUUCACCAAUUCAACUCUCUCUAUCAAUAGUAUAUAUAUAAAGUAAGAUUUUUUAUGACACGUGUCACUUCCACGUUUAUUCGCAAUAUUUUUAUUUUUUUUCUAAUUUUUCAAAACCAAUAUUUAAUUUGGCAUAAAUAUCUCAACAAACUUUUGAUCUUAUCUAUUAAAUAUUUUACUUAACUAUUUAUUGAAUUCCUAAUAUUUUAUGUAAUAGAAAUAUCUCAACAAAAUUACAUACGAUACCCUUCAAUUAAAAAUCAUCAAUCAAUCAAUAGUAUAUAUAGUAAGGUUUCUUAUGCCACGUGUCACUUUCAUGUUUAUUCGCAAUAUUUUUAUUAUUUUUAUAUUUUUUAAAAUCAAUAUUUAAUUUUGUAAAAAAAAAAUCAAUAUUUAAUUUGGCAUAAAUAUUUCAACAAAAUUUUAACCUUAGGGAUGGCAAUGGGUACCCUAUCCCAAUGGAUAGGGUACUAUAGUACCCUAUCCAUUGGGUACUCAUUGCCAUAAAUGUAUUGGUCUAUUCUCCACUAUCAUAAAUAUAAAGUGAAAUAUAUUGAAUUGGAAAUGAUGAAAGUAGUAUUAAUUAGAGUUAUAAUUGAAAAAAAAAGUAAUUAAUAAUUGUAUUGAAAAGUUAAAUGCAUCAAGAUUUUUGAGACAAUAUUUUUUACAAAUAACUUAGUUAUUAUGGGACGGAGGGAGUAACACUUUAACAUGACAAUGAAAAGUAAAUUUAAGAAUUAAAAUGCAAGAAAUGAAGAGAAUGUUUCUCUAACACAAAACUAUUUUUUUUUUCUCUUUCACUUAUACACUUUUUUAAUGUGUAAAAUAAAAAAUAAAAAAAACUUAUGUAUAAUGAGACGGAGGGAGUAGUUAGUAAGAACAAAGUCGUCAAGGAACCAAUUAACUCUUGAUUUCACUUCCCAAAAACGUCUUGAUAGUGCUAUACUCCCUCCGUCCCAAAUUAUAAGCAAAAAAACAAAAAUCACACUUAUUAAGAAAACUAAAACAUAAAAAUUUGGAGUAUAGUUUUUUGUGUUUUCGUUGGAAAAAGUUUUAUAGGAAGAUGUAAAAACAAUUUUCAUUGGCUAUUGAUUAUGGAAAAAAUGAAAGAAAGAGAAAAUUGAAUGUAAUUUGCAUUUAAUUUUAUGAGAAUAACAAAAAAAAAUCUUGGAAAAGAUUAAAAUUUGUCUUUUUUCCUUAUAUUUUGGGACAAAGAAAAUGAAUUUCUUUUGCUUAUAUUAUGGAACGGAGGGAGUACUUGGUUAAGCUGGAUUGAGCAUUCAAUUCUAAUUUAAGGGCCUUUAAUUUACCUUAAAGAAUAAACAUAGGACAACCAACCACAUAAUUAUUUAUACCAAACAUUUUCCACCACGUGGGUGAUAUCUGGAAGAUGAGAGUCCAUUUAAGUGAGUCAAUGUGACGAAAAAAAAGAUAAAAUGGCAAUUUUAGGAUCGUAAAUUUCUGAAAAUAAUGGAAGUAGUAAUUCUUUUAACGUUUUCAUUGUUUUAAAAAAAUUAUCCAAUCAUAUUUUAUAUGCAAUUUUUGUUUUUUAGAUUAAUUAAACAAUAAAUUUUGUUAACCAGUGUCCUAAGGGUGAUGAUUAAGGAAUUCAAAUGUAAAAGUUUUGUCUUGUAAUUGUAGGAUGUUACAUUUGAUCAAGUAAUGAUUAUACUACUUUUUAUUAAAAACUUACUUGAUUUAGUUGUUUAACCAGUGUGAACACUAGUUAACAUUCUCCUUAAAUAAUUGAUGUUUCUGAAAUAUAAUAUAUAUAUAUAUAUAUAUAUAGCUCAGAUACAUCACUUAUUUAAUGAAGAGUUUUUUUUUUUUCCUUCUCUUAAUUAACGAAUAAAACUAACACUUAUAUAUCUACCAAAAAAAAAAAAAAACUAACACUUAUAUAAUAUAGUUCGGAUACAAUAUAUUUAUAUAAUAUAAUCCGGAUACAUCACUUAUAUAAUCAACAUUGCUAUUUACCGCGACAAGUUUUGUCCCGAAUGCAUCAAGAAUGAAAAUAAGCCAAUUAAAAACAGCUGUUAGUGGAAAUCAUGGGAGGUGGGGGAGAAAAAGAUGGAAAUCAUAAACUAAUGGAUGGAUGGCAUACAUGCCACAUGUGUCUGGAAAAUCUCGGGACAGUUUUAUUUCGUGUGAAAUAGCAUUUUUCCUUAUAUAAUAUAGUCCAGGUACAAGGCAACUAUCACCGGAUGAGGUUUUAUCUUUUUAUUAAUGAAUAAAACUUUUUUUAAGAAGCUAAAUGCAAAAUAUAUUAAAAACCAAAUUAGUUAAGCACAAGAUGUGCCAAACGAAAAACUGUGUAUAACGUCAAAGUAACAAACUCGAUAAAGAAAGAAACCACAAAUAAUAAAAAUCAAAAGCGAAAUUCAGUUUAUGUGUCUUUAGCCACCACAAAAAAUGAAAUUUAAUAUUGUCGAGAAGUUGAUCCUUAGAAGACACGUUGUUAUUGAAAUUUCUCGAGUUUCUCUCCUUCCAAAUUCUCUCCUUCGAAAUAACUCAAAGACAUGUCAGCACACCACUUUAAAACAAGAGCUAAUGUCCUUCCUGAAAGCAUGCGCGCCAAAAAAUUGUUGUGCGUGACAACCAAUAUUUGAUGGAACGACGGUAGUUUUACCCUACCAGAUCAACAAACACCCUACCAGAUCAACAAACAGGGAAAAUAAAUAAAAAAUAUUUUUGCAAAGUAAUUAAACGGAUUCUAAUGUUUAAUAGGAACCGAUCGAGGACAACAUAGAAAUCAUGCUGGAAUUUGAAGAAGAAAUACAAACCUAAUUAAAGAGAGGGGCUAAGUAUUUCCAAGCUGGAACUUGAAAAAGAAAAACCAUGCUCUAAUUAAGUAACUAAGUAAGGUAGUACAUUACAACAAUUGAGAUAAGUACGACACAUUAUGAUGAUUAUGACUUAUGAGCUGUUAAAUGAUGUUGUAGGAUUACUUUUUUCUUGUCAAAAAUAAAUAAAUGAUGUUGUAGGAGAAACAUUAUUAUAAACAUUAUUAUAACUUACAAGGACUAAUGUUUAAAAAAAAAAACUUACAAGGACUAAUAAUGAGACAGAACGAAAGUGUACGUGAGUGUAGGAGACACGUUAUUAUAACAUUUUAUAAAUAUUUAAACGUUGAUAAUAAUUUUGUCGAUCUAUAAACCACUACCAAUUCCUAGUUAAAUAUAUAAUAAUUUUUAUUAUAUUUGUUAGUUGAUGGUAAAAGAUGAAUAUAAUUUGUUACUAUAUUUUUUUUUGACAAAAUAAUUUGUUGCUAUUUAAAAUUCAUAAAUAUAGUCUAUACAUAUAAUUUUAAUAAAAAUAAAAAUUCACCCAAAAAAAAAUCAAAAAUUUCAUAAAAAAAUAAAUAUUGUUUAUAAUUCACGAGCGUUGUCGCAGUACAAAAAUGGAUAGAUGGAUACCCAGUACUAGUAAUUAAUGAAGUUAAUUGGUAAAAUUUCACUCUUACUGGUGGUUGAUGGUAGGGGUGUUUACGGUGCGGUUUGGUUCGGUUUUGAGAGAAAAAGUCAUCCAAACCGCAAGAUAAAAAAACAUGCGGUUUGUGUAACACCCACAGCUGACGAGGGCAGGGGAGUGGUCACCGGUGCACAAGGCACGCCAAUGAGCGGCUCCCGACAGCUUCUAGAGGAACCGAAUCACAUCUGAAUGAGAGGGAUCCUGAGGCCGUGUAGGUGUGGGACUACAUGAAUGAAGGAAUGCUUAUAAGAAUUGUUUGGUAAUACCUAUAUCAACAAGGUGCAUCUUCUUUUUGGUACCCUAUUCCAUAAGAACUCCACAGUUAAGCGUGCUUGACUUGGAGUAGUCUUUGGAUGGGUGACCUACCGGGAUUCCCGAUAAGCAUGCGAGUGAGGACAAAACACGCUGAAAAGACUCGUGUUGGUUUGUAGGGUCAGUCGACAAUGCUUAAAGUCGUCUGGGAUGUUACAGUUUGGUUUGGUUCGGUUGGCUUUAAAAUAAAAUCCGAACCAAACCAAACCAAUAUGGUUUGGGUUGUAUCGGUUGGUGCGGUUUUUUUCGUGACGAUACGAUUUUUUGUUUCCAACAUUAAAAUCAAGAUAAAAAGCUGAAACACAAUAUAUUUUCAACAAUGUUUUAAAUUUCAUCAAACAUUACAAUUUCAUUUUCAUUACAAUGUUUCCAACAACAUAAACCAAAUUAAAAACGCGGACAAAAAGUAAUCUUAUUUUGUAAGAAAUGCAAAAGACUGAGAUGUUCUCAUUCUCUAAAAGUUAAGUAGCACAUAAAUACAUUUUUAAAUAAAAAGCAAAUAAUGAACUUAACAAGAGAAAAAAAAUAUGACAUUUUAUAAAAGUUUUCAUUGAGUUUCUAUGAGUAUUGGUCUUGAUGACAUAUGUUUAAUUAACAUUUUUCUUAUGUUAUGGUUUGGUUUGGUUUUGUAUCUAUUUGACAGUCUCUUUGUACUUUGAGCGACCUCUUUAGUACGCCUUAUGCUAAAGAGGUGUCUCUCUUAUUGUGAAUAUAUAUCAUUUUACCUUCUUAAAAAAAAGUUAAUUGGUAAAAAAAAAAAAAAUUUCUCUCUUGAUUUAUAUGAAAUGACAUUUUUUUUUGGAACAUGGAGGGUAUUGAUUUUUACACCUUUUCAAAAGCCACUCAAGGAUGAAUAUAGAUUUUUCAUGCAUCAAACACAAGAAUCAUUAGCAUAACAUGCUUUGGAAAACACACACAUAUACUUAAAUUAAUGGUUGGAGUAUCAAAUUUAAAAAUAUUGUUGUCAAUACAUACCCCGUCAAUCCUCCUUUUUUACCCAAUAAACAUUGAAAUGUUGCUUCUUUCGUUAAGCAUAAAAACAUCAAAGUCUAGCAAAAUGUUGUUUUUGCGAUGACACAUUUCAUAUAGUUUAAAGGAUGCAUGAUUCGAUUACAAAAACAAAAUACUAAUAAUUCUAGCACAAAGUUUAAAGCUAAGAUUAUAAAGCUUCAUAGCAUGUGGAUAUUCAUUUAGAAAUAUAGGAUUAGGAUUGCCCCUUUCAUCACGGGUCUAAUAGCACCACUUGUCACUACAUGUUAAAAAUGUCCUCUAGUACAACACCGCUUUUUACUUGAUUCCCCUUGUCCAUGAAAAAAUCAAACAAUAUUUGGACACAAAAAUUUGCCCCCACUUUCCUUUUUCUUCUGCCCUAGUUUGUUUGAAAACUCAUAUUGAUCAAAUUUGGCUAUGAAUUCAAACAAAAAAUUCACUCUGCCCAUUGCAUGUGUGGGACCCACAUAUAAAUCCAUGAAGGAUUUCAAUGUCCAUCCAAGUCAAUGAUUCAACAUAUAACAUUGAAUAAUUUAAUUCCAAUUUGCAGUAUUAUGAUUUAGAUUGAUUGCUGCAAUACGGUCCGUGAAUGUAACUCACGAGAAAGAGGUAUCAAGGUAUUUUAUUUUAUUUUUAACAAAUAAAAUUUCAAGGUCUUGUUCACCAUAUAAACCUCCUCACUCUCACUCAAUUCUCUUAAGUGUAUGACUUCAUAGUAAACUACACUACUUUCUUUAAAACAUGGCUAACUAUGCUAUAGCCAAUGUUUUGAUCCUUCUCUUGAACUUGAGUACCUUACUCAAUGUUCUUGCUUGCCCUUAUUGUCCUUACCCAAGCCCUAAACCACCUUCACACCACCCUCCUAUUGUUAAGCCACCAGUUCACAAACCACCAAAGCAUUCUCCUACUCCUAAACCACCAGUUCAUAAACCACCAAGAUAUCCUCCUAAACCAUCACCUUGUCCACCCCCAUCAUCAACACCAAAACCACCUCAUCAUCCCAAACCCCCAGCAGUACACCCACCACAUGUUCCAAAACCACAUCCACCUUAUGUUCCAAAACCACCAAUUGUUAAACCUCCAAUAGUACAUCCACCUUACGUACCAAAACCCCCAGUUGUGAAACCACCACCAUAUGUCCCUAAACCACCUGUUGUGAGACCACCCUAUGUUCCUAAACCACCAGUUGUACCUGUAACACCACCUUAUGUUCCUAAGCCACCAAUUGUUUUCCCACCACAUGUUCCUCUACCUCCAGUUGUACCAUCACCACCACCUUAUGUACCAACACCUCCAAUUGUGAAACCACCAAUUGUUUUUCCACCACAUGUUCCUCUACCUCCAGUUGUGCCUGUAACACCACCUUAUGUGCAACCACCACCUAUUGUAACUCCACCAACACCAACACCUCCAAUUGUGACACCACCAACACCACCUAGUGAAACACCUUGUCCUCCACCACCACUUGUACCUUAUCCACCACCACCAGCACAACAAACAUGUUCCAUUGAUGCUUUGAAGUUGGGUGCAUGUGUUGAUGUGCUUGGUGGACUCAUACAUAUUGGUAUAGGUGGAAGUG
rnacentral:lncRNA from 1 species